AGCAGCCGCGGUAAUUCCAGCUCCAAUAGCGUAUAUUAAAGUUGUUGCAGUUAAAAAGCUCGUAGUUGAAUUUCGGGGUCUGUCCGUCGGUCGGGCUUCACGGUCCGUACUGGUGUGAUGGGUUCCUACCUUCUGAAUAACCGGCAUGCCAUUCAGUUGGUGCGCCGGGGAAGCAGAGCUAUUACCUUGAAAAAAUUAGAGUGCUUAAAGCAGGCUAGUGCUUGAAUAGAUUAGCAUGGAAUAAUAAAAUAGGACGGCAUGGUUCUAUUUUGUUGGUUUCUAGGAUCACCGUAAUGAUUAAUAGGGAUAGUUGGGGGCAUUAGUAUUCAAUUGUCAGAGGUGAAAUUCUUGGAUUUAUUGAAGACUAACUUCUGCGAAAGCAUUUGCCAAGGAUGUUUUCAUUAAUCAAGAACGAAAGUUAGGGGAUCGAAGACGAUCAGAUACCGUCGUAGUCUUAACCAUAAACUAUGCCGACUAGGGAUCGGAUGAUGUUAAUUUUUUAAUGACUCAUUCGGCGCCU
rnacentral:rRNA from 1 species